UCCAUUGUCCAUGGAUACACUAUUUAGGACAUAUAUCGUUAAUUGAGAUAGUCCUAAUUCUUGUCUUUGCCAUUUGAUGUAUAAGAAUCAUCCAUACAUUAAUUCAUUUGUCCUGAAAGAUUUCUUCCAAAGAUUGACUUUCAGGGCAUAUUUCCAACAGUUAAUGCAUGUCGUUAGGCAUAGACCUCUAAUUGUCACCUCUUAAUAGUCGUGCCUGAACGCCUUAGUUCUGCCAAAGGCCAUCAUUUAGCUUCAAUCGUUGGGCUUUGGGUUUAAUAUUUAAAGCCCUUUUCCUUUAAUUUGCCUUGUUUCUCUUCUGCACCCAGUUUCCAAACCUUGCACCACUGAGCAUUCCAUUUUCGUAUGAUAAAUUACAAGAGUCCCAAUUUCUUCAAAUAUUAUGUUUUAUCGCCAUGGCUUCUCCAAAUUCUCAAGCUUUGAAGGUUGUUAAUCCCUUAUCCAACCUUUUUGCCGUUUAUAGAAGUUUCUAUUUGUGCCCAUCGAUGAUGCCAUGCAUGGUUGAUGACGUGGCGCUGGAGAGGGUCGUUAGAGUGCAUCAUGAUGUGUUGGGUGGCUGCAGCCUGACCUUGGAGCCAUGGGGCAUUAGCAUGUAUAACUUUAUACCAAAAUGUCUCUUCCCUGAUCGCCCAAGGGUUCAAAUCCACCUGUGGUACUUGAGCUCCGGGUUAAAAUUUCCCUUCUUCGAGUUUGUGAAUAAGGCUCUGAUGCACUACUAACUCAUUUCCAUCAACCUUACCUAUACUGCGUACUGAGUCCUGAACGUGUUCGAGAGAUUAAACUGAAUAUAUGAGAUAGGUAUAGGUCUACCUGAAUUCAAGGUUAUGUUCUUUUUGAACUCAAUGUUCGCAAGUUUUACAUAUUUUUUUUCUAGAGCUGUUUGGUCGAGAAGUGGAAUUGUUCGUGAAUCAAGAAUUUGCAUACUCAUGACAAAAAUGAUGACAUGAAUAUCCUGACCAUGGUCAGUGAAUGGAAGGGGGACAUUUCUGAAGAAAAAUUUUUGUCCUAGCUAAGAACAUGUAAGAACAUUUGAAUACAUAUGCAAACUAUUAACACUUUAAAGUAGGCAUGCAUUCAAAAACAAUUGAAUACAUAUGCAAACUAUUAACACUUUAAAGUAGGCAUGCAUUCAAAAACAAUUCAUAAAACCCAUGACUUUCAAAGCCUAGUAUAUGGUGAACCAAAAGACUCUUUAACAACAUUAAAGAGAAGUAAAGAUUUAGAGUUUCGUUACCCUUGAAGCUCAUCCUUGUUUACACAAGGGAUUCACCCAAGUGGA
rnacentral:lncRNA from 1 species